rnacentral:rRNA from 1 species
AAAUGAAUUGACGGGUCCCGCACAAGCAGCGGAGCGUGUGGUUUAAUUCGUUGCUACACGAAGAACCUUACCUGGGUUUGACAUAGAGGUAGUAGGGAAGCGAAAGCGGACGACCUUCGGGGAGCCUCUACAGGUGUUGCAUGGCUGUCGUCAGCUCGUGUCGUGAGAUGUUCGGUUAAGUCCGCUAACGAGCGCAACCCUCGCUGUGUGUUACAAGUGUCACACGGUACUGCCGAUAUUAAGUCGGAGGAAGGUGGGGAUGACGUCAAGUCAGCAUGACCUUUAUAUCCAGGGCUACACACACGCUACAAUGGCCAGUACAAUGGGUUGCCAAGCCGCGAGGCGGAGCCAAUCCUAAAAAGCUGGCCUCAGUUCAGAUUGCAGUCUGCAACUCGACUGCAUGAAGUUGGAGUUGCUAGUAACCGCAGGUCAGCAAUACUGCGGUGAAUACGUUCCCGGGGAUU